rnacentral:lncRNA from 1 species
CUUUCUCCUUGAGUACACAAAAGUGUCUUCCAGCUUCGGGUCUCAUAAAGGACUAUUUUCAUUCUCCCAGUUGCCCCCCUGAAAUUUUGUGAUUGAAUAAUUCUGCUCUUGUCUUGCAGCUCGGGGCUUUUGUGUUGCUGGUAGGCUGGGAGGAGAGAGGAUGCCCCCUUGAGUGAGACCCUUCUGCGUACCCCUGGCCAUGCUUGGCCAGCGACUGCAGACCACGUGGCUGGCCAGGUUCCCCAUCCCAUUGGUCUGUCUGGCAGUUUUCUGCACAUGUGAGCGAUGCCCUGGAAGCAGAAUAGUGUGUCAUGCGCCAGAAACUGAAGCAGGAUAAUGGCUGAGAGAACCAAGAACUCUGGCUGACCUCCUG